AGAGUUUGAUCAUGGCUCAGAACGAACGCUGGCGGCGUGGAUAAGACAUGCAAGUCGAACGCUAAUUUGGCUGUAGCAAUACAGUCAAGUUGGAGUGGCGCAAGGGUGCGUAACACGUGGGUAAUUUGCCGUGAAGUUGGGGAUAACUCGCUGAAAGGCGAGCUAAUACCGAAUGUGAAAAUCGAAAGGCAUCUUUUGAUUUUUAAAGUUGGGGACCGUAAGGCCUGACGCUUCACGAUAAGCCCGCGGCCUAUCAGCUAGUUGGUGAGGUAACGGCUCACCAAGGCUAAGACGGGUAGCUGGUCUGAGAGGACGACCAGUCACACUGGAACUGAGACACGGUCCAGACACCUACGGGUGGCAGCAGUCGAGAAUUUUUCUCAAUGGGCGAAAGCCUGAAGGAGCGACGCCGCGUGGGGGAUGAAGGGCUUCGGCUCGUAAACCCCUGUCAUUUGCGAACAAACCUUACGAUUGAACAGAUCGUGAGCUGAUUGUAGCGAAAGAGGAAGGGACGGCUAACUCUGUGCCAGCAGCCGCGGUAAUAC
rnacentral:rRNA from 1 species